UAUGCAAGUAGUCCUCCUUGUAUCUUGUCGUCACAAUGAGACUCUCUUUGUUUCUUCAAUGCUUGCUUUGUAUCUGCCUAGCACUGCUUCUUAUUCAGCCAUCCAUUGUUUUUGGGGAUGACGGAGAGGAACGAGGCCGUUUCAGCGAUCAUCCGGUAAAGGCGCCACCAAGAUCACGUAGGGCCCGUGCUACCCACCCAUGAAUCAGAAUCACAAAUAAUGAGUCAAGUUGCAUAUAACUCAUUACUUUUUCGUAUAUCAAGUUUUUUUUUUUUCAUUUUUAUUAUUCCAUGGAGUGAGUUAUGAUACUCAAAUUAAUUGAGUUCCAUACCACAUCUAAUACUAUAUUAGUUUGAUAUUAUAAC